CCUACGGGUGGCAGCAGUGGGGAAUAUUGGGCAAUGGGCGCAAGCCUGACCCAGCAACGCCGCGUGAGCGAUGACGGUCUUCGGAUUGUAAAGCUCUGUCGCAGCGGACGAAGUAUGACGGUACCCUGUAAGAAAGCCCCGGCAAACUACGUGCAAGCAGCCGCGGUAAUACGUAGGGGGCUAGCGUUGUCCGGAAUUACUGGGCGUAAAGGGAGUGUAGACGGCUGGUCAAGUCAAGUGUGAAAGCCUGCGGCUUAACCGGAGAAUUGCACUUAAAACUGACUCGCUAGAGUGCAGGUGAGGUGAGUGGAAUUCGUAGGGUAGCGGUGGAAUGCGUAGAUAUUAGGAGGAACACCAGAGGCGAAGGCAGCUCACUGGACUGUAACUGACGUUGAGGCUCGAAAGCGUGGGGAGCAAACAGGAUUAGAUACCCUAGUAGUC
rnacentral:rRNA from 1 species